rnacentral:tRNA from 1 species
GAGGGCAUAGCUCAGUGGUAGAGUUCUCGCCUGGCAUGCGCAAGGUCCUGGGUUCGAUCCCUAGUACCUCUA